rnacentral:lncRNA from 1 species
GUGUAGACAAAACAGUUGAAACAAUGUUAAAAACAUCUGCAGAAGAAAGAUAGUCAUGAGGGUGAGUAAAGGAGUAAAAGGUGACAAUUUAAAUGUUUUGGAUGAAAUAUUCCUUUAAGUGUCAUCCUUUCACUGAAAAAGAUAUUGUUCUUGGCAUAAUGUUGCUAUGCAACAAAUACAAUGAGUCCAGCACAAUGAUUUGACAAACCAUUUGUUUUAAUGCAAUGUUACUAUAUUGUGAAUUUUAGCAUGAUAGCUGAUGAAAAAUUGUCUUGAUCAGUCAGAAGCAAUGACCUUGACUAAUUGUUUUAUAUAAUUGUUCUGUACACGUUCCACCUUUUCCAAUAGCGUUUUCGAAAAUUCGGUCAGCAGAGUCCAUCCGUCUUGGAUAUGGUGAAGAAUGAAAAUUCCUACCAUGAAGUGUUCCAGAGCCAUUUCAGGAGAAAGUUCUGAAAGGCUGCAUUCAGAAAUGUCUCAGAACAUUAGGGAUGAAGCUCUAUGCAAGUGUGUACAUUACCUGACCAACAACUACCAGCAUUGUUUCUGAAGCUCUGCCACACCCUCACGUUGCCCAGGGCUCUAUGGGUCACCCUAUCCCACUGUCCUCAUCCAAGACAAAGACUUCUUCAGAAUCCCUCAUUGUAUGACACAAGGUAUAGGUCUCAGUUUUCUUGUUAGAUUUGGGAGGUGUGGCCUUAGAGGAUGUUUUUGCCAACAGGCAGCAUCAGCACAUCUAAAAACAAUAGCUAACUGCCAUUGUCAUAUGUGUGUGUGUUCGAAUGUCUGAGUGUGUCUGUUCAAAGAUGCCUUUAAAUAACCACUUACUGAGCGUUUGCCUUCUGAAAUUCAUGAUUGUCUAAAGCAAAGACAGUAAAACAAGUCAUUUGCAACCAUUACAUAUCUCUUUGUGUGCUAUAAGGGUCUUGGUAAAUGAAGUAAAUCAGUCGUUUAAGCAGCUGGCAUCUCAACUACUUUAUUGUUUUUCUGAGUAAAUUCAUCUGUGUUGAUGUGCAAAUAAGUUUGCUGUGUUUUCCCAUGACAGUCGUCUGUAUGUACAUGUUCCUCUGUGUGUGUGUGUGUGUGUGUGUGUGUGUGUGUGUGUGUUCAGGGACAUGUCAGGUGUUUACACACACUGUAGAUGCAGUGACUUUGGUGCCUCCAGUGGUAGAUUUAUGACGGUGUCUUUUAAAAAGUGAUUGCAGACACAUA